rnacentral:lncRNA from 1 species
AGACAAAAUGAUUAUCCUUAUACAAGGGACUGAAAACUCUUAACAACCUUACAAAACACUGCGUUGUCUGCCAUUCUUUUUCCCCACAACCUCAUUUUCUACCCCUUCCCCAUUUCUCAUUUGUUGAAAGAAAAAUAUAAAAGAAAUGUUCAUAUAGGUAACCAGUAGGAUGCCAAGAAGGGCCCUUUACAGUCAGAAAUGGUGUGGUGCCCUCUGGAUAAUAAAUUGUCCUUGCAACACUUCAGAAUUUUACACACCCGAGAUGCAAACUGAGCAAUGUCUUCUUUUUUUUUCCCCCUAUCUAGUUUGUUAAUACUGGAAAGGCAAUUGGACAGUGGGGCCUCUUCAUUCUUGGCACUAUUUCAAAAGAGACUUGAAAUGCCCUGACAGCAGUUCCUCUCACAAAGUAAUGUGAAGGUUGUGACACGGACCAACAAAAGGCUGCCACGCUGCCGUUAGCUUACCCUGUUGUGCUCAGAGGCUACAUUCAGGUGAAGUCUAAAGGAUGGGCCCAACUUUGAGCUCUCUCAUGAACAGCUGUAUUCACUCAGAUCAAAGAACAUCAGUGGAAAAAGUUUAUGCCCAAUGUCUCAGAAGUACUGAAUCAAGUUCAGCCUCUGAGGUAUGCAAAAAAAUGUCUUUGCAACUGUUGGGUGAUGCUUCUGCUUGUAACAGUAAUGAGG